GCCUUCGUGGUAUAGUGGUCAGCACACUCGACACGUAACCUAGAGUUCCGUGGUUCGAUUCUCGGUGAAGGCG
rnacentral:tRNA from 1 species